GAAGUAGCGCAGACUGUCGCGCUUUGCCGCAAGGUGAAGUGAGGAAAGUCCGGGCACCGCAGGGCUGGUUGCUGGGUAAUUCCCAGUGCGCGUGAGCGUGAGGAUAGUGCCACAGAAAUGAUGACCGCCAGUUCGUGAGUGGUCUGAGCGAAAGUGAAGAUCGCUGAUCUGGUAAGGGUGCAACGGUGCGGUAAGAGCGCACCAGCAAGGUCGAGAGGCCUUGGCUAGGUAAACCCCGCUGAAGGUGCAAGGCGAAGGUAUAGCUUGGGAAAGUGGCGGCCCGUCACCCCAAGUUGCCGAUGCCGCUAGAGGGUGUGGGAGACCACAUUCCCAGAGAGAUGACAGUCGAACACAGAACCCGGCUUAUGCGUUACUUCACUC
rnacentral:RNase_P_RNA from 1 species